rnacentral:pre_miRNA from 1 species
AGGAGGAACAGCCCCAGUGGCGGGGCAGCUCUGGAAACCUGGAUUCAGCCCCCGCAGGAACUCCGGAGCUCUCCGUCUGCAGGGCCUGGAGGCUCCGGGCAGGG